rnacentral:lncRNA from 1 species
UGAGAGGUAUCCCUACUGUCCAGUCUGUCCAUAGUGAUUACAGUGAGAGGUAUCCUACUAUCUUAGUCUGUCCAUAGUGAUUACAGUGAGAGGUAUUCCUACUGUCUAGUCUGUCCAUUGUGAUUACAGUGAGAGGUAUCCCUACUGUCUAGUCUGUCCAUUGUGAUUACAGUGAGAGGUAUCCCUACUGUCUAGUCUGUCCAAAGUGAUUACAGUGAGAGUAUCCUACAGUCU